CGACGGUUAAUAAAUGUGGGGAAAUUUUUUAAAAAAAAAUUAAUGCAUUAUUCUCGACAGUUUAAAACUAUUGGUGAAAGUAUUAGCCACAGUUUAAACCUGUGGCCCAUACUUUGACCGACGGUUCAAAAUUGUCGGGGAAGGGGAUCCUAAAAUAAAAAAACUCCUCUCUCAUCAACACAUUCAGACACGCUAACCCUCCAUCUUCGCCCUUAACCCUCCAUCUCUAUCAGCUCCUAUCUCUAUCGAUCCACCUUCCACCAUCCCUAACCCAAAACACAGCCGGAGGCGGAGCCACCACCACCAUUGACACUCCUUCCAAUUCCAGCUAGAGGCAGAGUCAUGUAAUUGUGUGUUCAUCAUCGACGAGAUCCAACCGCGAGCAGCAAGCUGCCUUUGUCGUUGCCCUAACCGCGAGCCCCCUAUCUUUAGUUUCCCUCUCAACUACUUGGCGUCACUGCUCCAUCCAUCCAGGCCAGCUCUGGUCCUCGACGGUCCGAUCGACAUGCACCACGGGAUUUCCCAGCCUCAGAAUCCCAAAACCCCCAUCUUAUCAGGUACGAAUGCAUUGAAAAUGAUUUGUUGAGCUCUCUUUUGAAAGCUUCUAGUAUUGCUUCUUACAAGUCAACAGGCGUGGACAAAGCUUUAGAACUAGCUUGUUAAUUCAUGGUAUGUGUCCAUCUUUGUGGAAGAGACUUAAAGAAUCUUUUUGGUACUCUCUUGUGGAUCUAAACAUUAACCCUUUCAAGAGGAUUGACAAGAACUGAGUUCGCUCCUAAACUUAGUGAUUAUAACUUCAGGGUGCCUUUGACCUUUUAUGUUGAUGAUGAACAUUAAUGCAUUGACUUUUUUCAAUUUCAUUAAUUUGACAAGCUCCUGUAAUAUUCACACGGAUCUUUUCUGUAAAUCCAAUAUUCAUAUGUGUAUUGUUUAUUAAAAUUGUAAACUCAAAUAAAAAAUCCAAUAUAGCUAAUGACUUUGCAAAGCCUAAAUAAUUUUUGAGUGUGACUGG